CAUCCGGGCUUCCAUGACAACCGACCUCCAUCCGAGCUUCUACAAUAAGUGGUCUCCAUCCAGACUUCCAUGGCAACCGGCCUCCAUCCGAGCUUCUACAGUAAACGACCUCCUUUCAGACUUCUACAAGAAUCGAACUCCGUCCGAACUUCUACAGUGGAUGGAUUUCAAACGAACUUCUAUAACGAACAGGCUCCAGCAGCUAGAUUUCUACAGUGACUGACUGUCUCUAGUGUCUUCUGUACCUCUCCAGCCAU
rnacentral:lncRNA from 1 species